rnacentral:rRNA from 1 species
AUUGAACGCUGGCGGCAUGCUUUACACAUGCAAGUCGAACGGCAGCACGGGCUUCGGCCUGGUGGCGAGUGGCGAACGGGUGAGUAAUGCAUCGGAACGUGCCCAUGUUGUGGGGGAUAACUACGCGAAAGCGUGGCUAAUACCGCAUACGCCCUGAGGGGGAAAGCGGGGGAUUCUUCGGAACCUCGCGCAAUUGGAGCGGCCGAUGUCAGAUUAGCUUGUUGGUGAGGUAAAGGCUCACCAAGGCGACGAUCUGUAGCGGGUCUGAGAGGAUGAUCCGCCACACUGGGACUGAGACACGGCCCAGACUCCUACGGGAGGCAGCAGUGGGGAAUUUUGGACAAUGGGGGCAACCCUGAUCCAGCCAUGCCGCGUGAGUGAAGAAGGCCUCGGUUGUAA